rnacentral:rRNA from 1 species
UACGAAGGGUGCAAACGUUGCUCGGAAUUAUUGGGCGUAAAGCGCACGUAGGCGGCUUUGUAAGUUAGAGGUGAAAGCCCGGAGCUCAACUCCGGAACUGCCUUUAAAACUGCAUCGCUUGAAUCCAGGAGAGGUGAGUGGAAUUCCGAGUGUAGAGGUGAAAUUCGUAGAUAUUCGGAAGAACACCAGUGGCGAAGGCGGCUCACUGGACUGGUAUUGACGCUGAGGUGCGAAAGCGUGGGGAGCAAACAGG